rnacentral:rRNA from 1 species
UGGGGAAUUUUGGACAAUGGGCGAAAGCCUGAUCCAGCAAUGCCGCGUGUGUGAAGAAGGCCUUCGGGUUGUAAAGCACUUUUGUCCGGAAAGAAAUCCUUGGCUCUAAUACAGUCGGGGGAUGACGGUACCGGAAGAAUAAGCACCGGCUAACUACGUGCCAGCAGCCGCGGUAAUACGUAGGGUGCAAGCGUUAAUCGGAAUUACUGGGCGUAAAGCGUGCGCAGGCGGUUUGCUAAGACCGAUGUGAAAUCCCCGGGCUCAACCUGGGAGCUGCAUUGGUGACUGGCAGGCUAGAGUAUGGCAGAGGGGGGUAGAAUUCCACGUGUAGCAGUGAAAUGCGUAGAGAUGUGGAGGAAUACCGAUGGCGAAGGCAGCCCCCUGGGCCAAAUACUGACGCUCAUGCACGAAAAGCGUGGGGAGCAAACAGGAUUAGAUACCCUGGUAGUCCACGCCCUAAACGAUGUCAACUAGUUGUUGGGGAUUCAUUCCUUAGUAACGUAGCUAACGCGUGAAGUUGACCGCCUGGGGAGUACGGUCGCAAGAUUAAAACUCAAAGGAAUUGACGGGGUCAUAGCUG